CUCCGUCACUCAGGCUUUCCAUUUAGGGACCCAGAUGCGGCCGCUGCCUGACCUCCUGAGAAGCUCCUGGGCCCCCCUCCGCGGAGCUCGGGGCAGCAGCGCCCAAGGCUGCCGUCACUCAAGACCAAAGCAGCUGAGAAGAGAUGGUCCAGGGAAUGUUUGUGUUGAGAUGUCGUUGACAUGGAACAUCGCGUGGGUUGCGGGUGUGCAACAGCAUGAUUCGAGCCUGAGCUGCAGGGAAGCAUAAAUCGGCGCUGGCACAUGUCCUGUGAUCGAGAGACCAUCCUCCAGGCCUCCCACCAGGAGCCCCUUCUCCUCACCCAGCCUGACAACAAAACCAACAACAAGCAAACAACCCUCGAGGGCAGCUCGGGCAGCUCGGGUGGCUCAGCAGUUUAGUGCUGCCUUCAGCCCAGGGCAUGAUCCCGGAGACCCAGGAUCGAGUCCCAUGUCAGGCUCCCUGCAUGGAGCCUGCUUCUCCCUCUGCCUGUGUCUCUGCCUCUCUGUGUGUGUGUCUCUCUUGAAUAAAUAAAGUCUUUUUAAAAAAAAAAAAAAAAAACAAAAACCAACCCUCGAACCCAGUAAGAGACGCAAUGCAAGGUAAGGCGCCCCCCCCCCCCCCAGCAGCCCUCUCUGUGGAAGCGGUGGCUGCGACCACCUUCUGUAAACCUAACUAUGUGUUUGUGUGCAUGUUCUCCCCACUACUCUCCCCUUUUACACAAAUGGUAGUAUUUCAUAUUGCUGCUUAUUCCUUGCUUUUUAAAAAAGCGUAACUCUGUAUUUUAAUAACUUUAACAUUCUUUUUAACUAGAUUCCUAUUGAUGAAUAUGUAGGUCGUUUCCAGUGUUUUAUGAAUCCCGCUGCAGUGCCUAACUCUAUGCCUCAUUUCACACAUGCAGAAGGAAACCUAUUGAAUACAUACAAACAGAAUUGCUAAAUCCAAGGGCAUAUAUACUUUUAAUUUUUAAGGCUUGCCUCAUUGCCUCCUCAUAAAGCCCAGCGUAUACCCUCACAAACCAUGUAGAGAAUGCUAUCAUCGAUUUUGUAAAAAUCUACUUUCCAGUUUCCUUACCUAUCUUCAUGGUCACACUCUAGAUAUUCGAAAACCAUUUCACUUCUGAAAUCCAGAAUUCAAAUAUGCAUCAACUCUCUGUUAUUUCACAAUGGCCAUGUUUUAGGGUACCAAAAAGUGCCCCAGAGAUUCUACCACUAAGAAUUUAUCAUUAUUAAAAAAUCAGAGAUGCGCACAAAGAUUUAUUUAUAAAUCUGUGCAGUACUGCCUUGUUCUUAAUGGUGAAGCAUAGAACAUACACUACGAGAGUAGAGUGCAGUGGUUAAGUAAAUUAUAGUAGUACACUGCAAUGCUAUCAUAAAAUUUGUGAUUUUGAAAAACAUUUAACAAUUUGGGAAACUCUUUACACUAUACCAUUAAGUGAAGAAGCAUGUGACAAUAGUUACACGUGUGUUCCCUAUUUUAAAAAUACAUUUGCACAAGACAAAAGGCUAAAAAGCCACAUUAAUAUUUUAAUUAUUGUUAUUUGAAUGGUUGGAUUGUGUGUGUUUUUAAUUUCUUUCUAUGCUUUUCUAACUUCUCAAUAAUAAAUAUGUACUUGAACAAGUUGUGAAAGUUAAUUUUUAGAAAAAGGAAGAGAGAGUGGAAGGGAAGAAGAAAAAAGGUGUACAGGGUAGAGGGAACAGAGAAUGUGAACAGGCUCCAGGUCAGGCCGGCUGAGUCUGGGUUCCAGCAUUGCCGCUUAAGAGGCUGGCCAUUUUAGGCUAAGUCGUUUCAUCUUCAUGUCUCAGUUUCUCUCUCAUCAAACGGGACUAAGAGUAUUUACCCUGCCUCCCAGCAUGGUGGCUAUAAAAUGGUACAUGAGGCUGCUUUGGGAGCGCAAGUGUAUUUUGUAAUAGAGGACAACAUUACUGUCAUUCAUUCAUAUUAUUUAAUCACAGCUACCCUUUGUGUAACUUGAGUUUUUAGACAAACGGGUUUUUUUUUUUUCAUCUAAAAUGAUUAAAUCGAAUGUGCUACUUCCUGCGGGGCUUUCCAGGCAUCUGAGAGAGAGGCUAAAAGCUUUUUAGUCAGUCAAUAAAGGUAUCUGUUUUACUGAAACAAGAAAUAAAGAUUUCUCCCACUUACCAAACUAUUUGAAAUCCCCAUCUUCCUCCUAUCUUUGGGAUCAAGUCUUGAAAGCUGCCUGCCAAAAUAAAUAAUUAUUUAAAAAGGAGAACAUUUCUUUCAUGCCUUGCAUUCUAUGGAAUAAAACCUGUGGCCAGCGGUUUGUGAAGAGAGCAGGGAAGAUGCGUCCAGAGCUGAGUCACAGGUCACUGCUCUGGCCGAAGCUAUUGCUCAGGGCAGGGAGAGGGUUUGAGUAGGCAGUUACCUUACAGCCCUGGGCACCUGUGGAUUAAGCUGUUUAGCAUUUAAUACUCUGCACCGGUUGGUUUCAAAGUGCCUUUGUGAGGUUGUUAUGCAAUACACAAUCUGUCCUUCGGCCAAACUCAAAUACGUUGGACUCUUACUAUUUGAAAUGUUGACAUUUCUGUUGCAUUUUUGCCAAGUAAGUAUAAAAUGGUAAGCAGACUGAGGUCCUUAUUUCUAGUUCUCUAUCUUGAGAUUAUUAUGCAAUCUUGUAAGACUGCAAAGUCUAAAUCAUUCUAUUGAAAUAUGUACAAUUAACAUGUUGUCAGUUGUAUUUGUUUCAGGGGUACAUUAUAGUGAUUCAGCAAUUCUAUAUGUCACUCAGAGCCCAUCAGGUCUGUAAUGGCCGUGCCUUUCAUUUUAUAAGCAUAUUUUUGCUAGGUAUAAAAUUCCAUGUUGGGAAAAAAAUUUCCAUGUUGGGGCUCUUUGAGGGGAAGAUGGGAGGCUGGUCUGUCAGAUCUGAGAAUUCAACAUUGACAGCAUUUUGUUUUCAGUAUGCUGAAGCAUAUUUUGCUUUUCCGUGUGCUAGAAGUGUAUCUGCUGGCUCGUGUUAGUUUUGACAAGAAAUUAGCUAUUCCUUUGUUCCCAAUUACUUACUUUUCUCCUGGUUAAAAGUCACAUUUCCCUGCCUCUUCUGUUUUUAGUAUUGUAUUACCUGUAUUAUCCAAAAGAUGAUGUAUUUUCAGUAUUUUUUGAUUAGAUGCUGUACAUUGUCAUUUUAUAUUGUUGUGUGUCUGGAUUUUGUCAUUCUCCUGAUUUCUGUCUCCUUGCCUUGGCGAGUCCUCUGUACCACCCUGCUUGCUGCACAGUCUAGAGAGUGCCUCCAUGUAGAGAGCCAGACUGAUCAUAGGACAACUUUGAGUCUCUCUCCUCGGGGAUCACGUCCCUGCACUACUUGUUUUCCAAUAUCUGAAAGCUUGUUUUUUCCAUACAUUUCAUGCGAUUUUCUUGUUUACAGAGAAAGCACAAGUCCAGUACCAGUUACUCUCUUUUUUUUGCCAAAAGCAGAAAUUUUGUUACAUUAUAAAAGUAACUAUCUGACUAACAAGCAAAUAGAGGUUUCUAUGCAUUAACCGAGGAAAAGCGUAUCAUGAACCAUGAAUUAUGAUUAGUUCAGUCCCACAACCUUGAGGCCUUUUCAAAAUAAAUGGAAGAAAACCAAUUCCACGGCUGUACUGUUAUUGCCUUCAAUGCUGAAAGCCCACAUCUUUUAGCAAAACCCAUUGUUGCUGCAAUGCAAGGUUGUGGUGCUGGCAUGUGACUUUUAUUCUUCUCUGCUGUAGCCUACAUCUCGUAAGUAUCAUAAAGAGGUAAGAGAUGCCAUAGGAGUAUUUGUUACUUGAGACCACACUCAAAGAUGUCUGGAUGAGUUCUUCCAGAAUGAAAAUGCCCUAGAUUUCCAGAACUCCCUCCAUGCUCACAUUAUUCCUUCUUGUGCAUAUCUCAUUCCUGUACGUCCUCAGCUGGUAUAUCACCUCCUUUAUUUACUCUUUCCUUGUCAAUACAUUUAAGUAGAGACUUAGCUCUCUUUCCUCUGUCUUUCCACACCUCUUGAUUUAUACUUCACACAGGAUAAUGAUCAAUUCUAACUUGUAUUAUCUUCACACAGGUGUCAUAUUUGCCCCCCUCCCCAGUAGGCUGCGAGUUUGUUAAAGGAAAGACCAAUUGUAAUAGCUUUUGUGAUCUCCUAGCACCUUGGACCAUGUCUAGCAGAUAGUAGUGCCUAGUAAAUCACUGUUGAGUGAAUGAUGAAGGAAAAUGGAAGGGCCUCCAAGACAAGUUGCCCUGGAUCCACUUUUUUUUACCUAAAAUGCAGUCUCUUAAUGCAGGCAUCACUGUUCUCAGCUGUGUGAUUCAAAGGUCAGUGAUCCCGAUGUGGUGAUAGCUCAUGCCAAUCUCUCCUCACCCUGAGUUGCCAUGGAGACCGUAUGUUCAAUGGAGCUGCUGCUUUUGAUCUGUGACUGCCGUGUGGAAGCAGAAUUGGCACGGGAGCAAGCCUGGAGAUGGGGAGCCCAUUUAGAGCUAGAACACAGGCCAUCCACCGACUCAGAGGAAAAAAAUUAGCAUUUUCCUGACUUGAAUUCAAAUGCAUAGACUCUACAGAGAACAAGGCAUUCUCAGGUGAAGUUAAUGGAUUUGAGAGACUACGCAAUGAUGGAGGAAUAAGAUUUUCUGCUGCAAAGGAUUGCUUGAUUAGUCAAGAGUGGACUUGCCAUGUUACACUGCAAUAACUGGUUUAGGGAGGCUUUUGUCGCCUGUGAACGUUCAGACAGCAGGCCCUGCGUCCUGCCCUCUCUCCUUCCCAGCAGAGGAGCUCAUAGACGUCCCUUGUCUCUUCUGGAAAAACAAAUGAAAGAAAUUCUUGCUUCAUUCAUGAUUUUACCCCCGCGGAGGUCCAGGGCAGGAUUUCUUCCCUGCAGAGCCCUGUAGGGACAACAAGAGCCGUUACGGAGCUCCACUGAGUACCCCAAGCAGCAAUUAUUUUUUUAAGACAGACCUGCAUUAGGAUGGGAAACAUUUUCGGAGUCCCAGAGGAGUCCUCAUUUGCCUGAAAGAUACAGUGGGUCUGUGUGCGGCGAGGGGCCACUCAAGAAGAGGACGAAGAUGCCUCAGAAUAACCUUUCCAAACAUUCUACGCAUACUUUCUUCACUCAUACUAACAUCUGCUGUGUGAUAGACAAAACGCCGUUCUGGAGAGCAUUAUACGAUUCUCCUUUCACAUACAUAUUAAAAGAUGCAAAAAAAAUUAUCACUUUUAAGAGAACAACUGCAUGGUGCCUGGCGUAUUUAUUCUUUCAAGAGUUGGCUUCAGUUUACUUCCAGAAUUAGAAAAAUAGCAGAGGCCACUAUAGUAGAUAGAGAUCAAUUGUUAUUCUUGUCUCAGGAAAUAAAUAAAAUAUAAAGAAGUGUGUGGGGGGGACCAGGCAGAUCCCUGAAAUAAGAAUUUUGCCUUAUUUUCGCUAACAUUCCCAUAAUAAUAAUAAUGAUAAUAAGCUCAAACACAUGAAGUGGGAAAAUGAAUGCCAUCUCCUGAAACUAUCUUCUGAUGUACUGAUAGGAAUUCACAUGCGAAAUAUGUAGUGAAUUUUUAAAUCCAUUUAAUCAUAGUGGUGUUAGUGUUUUCUAUGUGUUUUCUAUACUGGUGUUAGUGUUUUUGUUAGUGUUUUCUAUACUGAAAC